rnacentral:lncRNA from 1 species
GCGUCGGUGUAUAUGAUUCUCACAACUUUUUGCCGGACGACGGUCAAAGACUGGCCGGAGGGGGUGAGUGAUCUCCGGUCGUCUAUGGCCUUGUUUGUGGUAACAACAUGUUCUGAAAACUUGACUCUUUGUCGAGAAUACAUUGGAGAUUGAGGGCUGAUGCCUAUUUCCAUGAACUAUGCAGGGAAAUCUUCUUCCCGAGCAUCAAGAAGAAAAGGGAUUGGUUGGUUUUGCUAUCAAAAGAAUAUAAGAAAGCAGGAGAGCAAAACCACUGGGAGGAAAGG